AUGGGGAGGAGGAUGAGGAGGAGGGGGAGGAAGGCUCCUCGGAAAUGGCGAGAAGGCGCGCAGCUCUCCGGUCCCAGAAGGAGCUUGAGCGGAGCGGUUGCGCUCCGCGGGUUUCGGCCUCUCGCGGUGAGAGGCGGCCGCGGGCUGGGGGGGGUCUCCAAAAAACCCGCUCGGGGUGGCCCCAAAAAACAGCUGCGGAAGGGGCGGAGACCCCCCGGGACACCCGGCGGGACAAGGCCGGGCUGCCCGCGCUCAGGCCACCACUGUCACCUUCCACCCGCGCCCGUGGGGACGGCGGGGACACCGGGAUGGAGGUGCCACCCCCGGGACACCGAGAGCGCCGGGGGCUGCCGGGGGCUGCGGGAGGGGGGAGGGACGGGGAGGGACGGGGAGGGACGGCAGGGACAGGGUGGGGACAAGCGGGGACAAGCGGGGGGGGUCAGGGUGGCCAAGCAGAGGGGGCAGUGCCAGGCAGAGUGGCCAGGCAGGGGGUGCCAGGCUGGGCAGUGCCAGGCAGGGUGGUCAGGGUGGUCAGACAGAGUGGUCAGUGCCAAGGGUGGUCAGGCACAGUGGUCAGUGCCAGGCCGGGUGGUCAGUGCCAGGCAGGGUGGUCAGGCACAGUGGUCAGUGCCAGGCAGAGUUGCCAGGCAGGGUGGUCAGUGCCAGGCAGGGGUGGUCAGGGUGGUCAGGGUGGUCAUGCAGGGUGGUCAGUGCCUGGCAGAGUGGUCACGGUGGUCAGUGCCAGGCUGGGCAGUGCCAGGCAGGGUGGUCAGUGCCAGGGAGGGGUGGUCAGGGUGGUCAGUGCCAGGCAGGGUGGUCAGGGUGGUCAAGCAGGGUGGUCAGUGCCUGCCAGGGUGGUCAGGCACAAUGGUCAGUGCCAGGGAGGGUGGUCAGUGCCAGGCAGACUGGUCAGAUAGAGCGGUCAGUGCCAGGCAGAGUGGUCAGACAGCGUGGUCAGUGCCAAGCAGGGUGGCCAGGCACAAUGGUCAGUGCCAGGCUAGGUGGUCAGGGUGGUCAGGCAGGGCGGUCAGUCCCUGGCAGGGUGGUCAGGGUGGUCCGGCAGGGUGGUCAGUGCCAGGGAGGGUGGUCAGUGCCAGGCAGGCUGGGCAGUGCCAAGCAGGGUGGUCAGGCAGGGUGGUCAGUGCCAGGCAGGGUGGUCAGUGCCAGGGAGGGUGGUCAGUGCCAGGCAGGCUGGGCAGUGCCAAGCAGGGUGGUCAGGCAGGGUGGUCAGUGCCAGGCAGGGUGGUCAGUGCCAGGGAGGGGUGGUCAGUGCCUGGCAGACUGGUCAGAUAG
rnacentral:lncRNA from 1 species